UCCUGGAUAGCUUAUGUACAAAGCUUUGAUUUUGUAAUUCAAAGAAGGGUUUUACCCCUCCCGGAU
rnacentral:tRNA from 1 species